AUCCACUCUGUACAAGACAGACAAAAGCAGCUCUUCAAAUAAACACAGCUUUACAGACAUGGAUACCCCUUCAGGCAGAAGACGCAGACGGGGUUCUGUGCACAUGGAUGGAUGCUAUGAUUUCGCAGGAGCAGAGAAUAUCUGCAGUGUGUGGUAUUAGGCAAAGGAGUUGGCAUAUAGAAAACCUCGCCUUUUGUCUAGUGUUCAUGGUUGCAAUGUAUUGUAAGCUAUUGCGGAUAUUCCCUCAGCAGCCAGAGAGAUGGCUGAAAAAGAUUUUUAAUGGGUUGGUGGGCUCCUUCCAGGCCCUGCAUACUGGCCGUCCCCCAUGACCAGCAAAGCCAGAAUAAAUUAUGCAAAAUAAGAAAUAUGCUAAUUUCCUGCUCAUGAUUUAUACAGGUUGCACGCAGAGCAGGUGUUCUACUACUGAGCUGCAGCUCAUCCUCCAAAAGCAGGUGCACCAUAUGGAGGUGCUUACCAAGAGCUCAAACAGGUGCAGUUUUAAGCACACUUUUCCGUAAUCUAUGCAUUUUUGAACACACUGGUCGGUAGGAACCACACUGCAAAAUUCAGAGAACUGCAACAUUGAAGGAAAUCCAGUUUGUGUAUUCAGGAACUGUGAAUUAAAAUGCAAACUUAAA